UGGAAUGUAGCUCAGUGGUACAGCUCCUGCCUGGCAAGUAUGAGGCCCUGAGUUCAAUUCCCAGUACCAA
rnacentral:tRNA from 1 species